ensembl:lncRNA
UCUGUCUCAAUAUCACAGAAUAAAAUGAAGGUGGUGUUGUUUCAUGCUUUCCCAGCAGGGGGCAGCACUUCAGUACACAAUACACUCAGAAUGAAUGUUCAGAGCACAGUCUGACGUUCUAUUAGUCCCUUUUUGUAUGUGUUUAUCUCUGUGAUGAAUAAAGUACAGUGUUUGUUAACAUUAAAGUGAUUUCAAUGUAUCCAGCAGUCCUUAAUUUAUAGCACUUGUUCUUAAGCGUGCUUCCUAAAAAGGAAAGAAUCGUUAAUACAUCCAUUAUAAUCAUAUAAUAGUCAUUUUAGAGUGUUUCACAUGUAAAUCCUGUCCAGUGGAGGAGGAAAAGGACAGGUAAAAAAGAAAGAUCUAAACGUCCAAAACAUUAUUUUGCCCCCAAAGUCUAGAAUUGGUCUAUCAUCAUUGCAGGUUUGUUGUCCAAUGACUAAUUUUGGGCAGAGGCAUGGCAAAAAGGCAGAGGAGUCAGUUGAAAAGCAAAGCAAAGAAAAGAAAAGAAAAGAAAAUUGGCAAAAAAAAAAAGUGUAUAUAUUUUACAUUAUCUUCGUUGGGGGCCCCUAAUAUGUUUAGAAUUAUCUUAUAAAUUAUAGGCAGACAAACAAAUAAAUAAACAAUUAUUAUUGUUUUUUUUCUGUUUAAGAAAUUGACAGUCAGUUUGGAGCAGCAAUAAUAAUAAUUCUGCUCUUUUGUGUCAUUAGUCCGUGUGUUUAGAGCGUAUACAGCAUUCUGUUUAAACCCACGUGAUGUAUCGAUGCUGUACCAAGCUGACACGAGCGGGUAGCUAGUUAGCUCAUCGUUUUUGGAGCCUAUUAACCUAGAGGACUGUAAACUGUUUAUUGAAAUUAUUUUUAUAAUCUGUCAGGUCUGAUUCCAUAAAGCUAUAAACAUAAUAACUUUAUAUUCUCUACGAUGCAUUUUAAUUGAUUUUUGUAUUAUCUUUUGACAAAUAUGUUAGAAGGCGUACAUGCAUUAUUUAUUUAUUGUUAUUAUCGUUUCUCGCCUGGGGGCGCAGCACUCGGUCUACAGAACCGCCGCUGAUCUAAUAUGAGAACGCGAGGGAACGCUGACAUCAUCAAAUCCGUUUCACUCACAACAACCGAUGACUUAUUCCCUGAUUAAAAUCUUCAACAUGAAUAUUGGCUUCUUGUCAUUUCCUCCCUGCUGUCGUUCCGGUUUGCAAGUGUGAGGAGGAACGAAAAUGAACAGUGUGGGGAGAUGUGAGGAGAUUUUGGGACACAUGAGGAGAUGCGAGGAGAUUUUGGGAGACAUGGGGUGAUGUAGGGAGACAUGAGGGGACAUGAUGAGAUGUGAGGAGAUGUGAAGAGAUGUGAGGAGACAUGUGGAGACGUGAGAUGUGAGGAGACGUGGAGACGUGAGAUGUGAGGAGACAUGCUGAGACGUGAGGGGAAUGGGGAUAUGUGAGUGGAAGUGGGGAGACGUGAGGAGAUGUGAAGAGAUGUGAGGAGACAUGUGGAGACGUGAGAUGUGAGGAGACGUGGAUACGUGAGAUGUGAGGAGACAUGCUGAGACGUGAGGGGAAUGGGGAUACGUGAGUGGAAGUGGGGAGAUGUGAGGAGAUGUGAGGAAACAUGAGGCGACAUAGGGAGACAUAAGUGAAUGUGUGGAGAGAUGUGAGGAGAUGUUGGAGGACAUGGGGAGAUGAGGAGGAUGUGAAGAGACAUAGGGAGACGUGAGAUGUGGGGAGACGUAAGGAGAGGCAAGGAGGCAAGUGGAGACAUGAGGAUAUGUGGAGAGACAUGAGGAGACAUGAGGGGACGUGAGGAGACGUGGAAGAACGUGAGGAGACAUGGGGGAACAUGGGGGAGCGAGAUGUGAGGGGACAUGAGGAGAUGUGGGGAGAUGUGUGGGGGAAACCCAAAGUCUCAUAAUUAAGAAAUGGGAGACAUUUAGUGCAGAUGAAAUUUUAAUGGUGUGUUAAUAAUUUAACAGAGCAGAUGGACUGCCCCCCUAACCCCCCCCUCACACACACACACACACACA